rnacentral:rRNA from 1 species
CCUACGGGUGGCUGCAGUGAGGAAUAUUUGUCAAUGGGCGCGAGCCUGAACCAGCCAAGUAGCGUGAAGGAUUAAUGCCCUACGGGUUGUAAACUUCUUUUAUAAAGGAAUAAAGUGAGGCACGUGUGCCUUUUUGUAUGUACUUUAUGAAUAAGGAUCGGCUAACUCCGUGCAAGCAGCCGCGGUAAUCCGGAGGAUCCGUCCGUUAUCCGGAUUUAUUGGGUUUAAAGGGCGCGUAGAUGGGUUGUUAAGUCAGUUGUGAAAGUUUGCGGCUCAACCGUAAAAUUGCAAUUGAUACUGGGAGUCUUGAGUACAGUUGAGGUAGGCGGAAUUCGUGGUGUAGCGGUGAAAUGCGUAGAUAUCACGAAGAACUCCGAUUGCGAAGGCAGCUUACUAAACUGCCACUGACAUUGAUGCGCGAAAGUGUGGGUAUCAAACAGGAUUAGAUACCCCGGUAGUC